rnacentral:tRNA from 1 species
GCCAAGGUAGCUCAGUCUGGCCAGAGCAGCUCCUUUGUAAGGAGCUCGUCGAGAGUUCAAAUCUCUCUCUUGGCU